rnacentral:lncRNA from 10 species
UUCAGAUAGAGUCUUACACUGUCACCUGAGCUGGAGUGCAAUGGUGCAAUCUCGGCUCACUGAAACCUCCACCUUCUGGGUUCAUGUGAUUCUCCUGCCUCAGCCUCCCAUGUUGCUGGGAUUACAGCUACAAAAGAUUUGGCCAAUUCAGAUGCCUUGUUCCCCACAAUUUGGAACUUUCCUUUGGAUUUGACCAAGUCAGGAAGAGACGACCAUACUUGAUGAGAGAAAAGUAAAACAACAACAAUAAAACACCAAAUGUAAACAAGAACAUUUAAGCAAAACAAACAAAUGCACAAUCCAUAUGAUUAGUGACUGUUCUAACGCUACAGGAGUUUUGGCCUAUUCUGAUGCCUUGUUCCUCACAAUUUGGAACAUUCCUUUGGAUUUGACCAAGUCAGGAAGAGAUGAUCAUACUUGAUGGGAGAAAAGUAAAACAACAACAAUAAACCCCAAACAUAUACAAACAAAAACCGUUAAGCAAAACAAACAAAUGCACAAUUCAUAUGAUUACUGGCUGUUCUAAAGGCAAGGAGAAAUUAAAACCAGUUGGUUGGUAAUCUUAACUUUUAGUCAUUAAGGAAAAUUUUUAAGACAAAUCUCUACUUCAGCUACUUACCUGGAAAAAGUCUCAGGCUGAUGAUCACUCUCUAUCAUCUUAGAAGCAGGAAAAAAUUCACACUCACCUUCCCUGCAAGCUGAAACUUAAGAAAGGAGGUGCCUGCUCUCCAUCAUCAUGGAAGCAGGAAAACUUGCAUUCCUUGUUGGAAAUAAGUAGAACUUCAGAAAAGGAGUUGUACAGUAAAAUCAACCUUAGAUCUCAACCUAAUUUUGGAAGAUCAGGGACUCUCUGGAGGGGAGAAACUUCUCAACCUCAGCAAAUUAUCCUAUUGGUUUCAGCAAUAAAUAUAGCUCAGAUUGACCAGGCACAGUGGCCCGUGCCUGUAAUCCCAGCACUUUGGAUGGACAAGGUGGGCGGUUCACUUGAGGUCAGGAGUUCAAGACCAGUCUGCCCAACAUGGUGAAACCCGGUCUCUAUUAAAACUAUAAAAAUUAGCCGAGUGUGGUGGCAUGCACCUAUAAUCCCAGCUACAUGGGAGGCUGAUGAAGGAGAAUUGCUUGAGCCUGGGAGGUGGAGGUUGCAGUGAGCAGAGAUCAUGCCACCACACUCCAGCCUGGGCAACAGAGUGAGACUCCUUCUCAAAAGUAAAAACAAAAAACAACAACAAAAAAAGACAGCCCAGGUUGGUAUCAACCAAUAAUGAGAUUUAUCAAAGGUCAGGGCCACCUUUGUAAUGUCCUUCUCUGUCUUGAUAAAUCUUUAUUGGUAUAAAGUCUGUUUUGUCAGAAACUAGAUUGCAACACCUGCUUUUUUCUGUUUUCCAUUUGUUUGAAAGAUUUUUCUGCAUUCCUUUAUUUUGAGCCUGUGUGUGGCACUGCAGGUGAGAUGGGUCUCUUGAAGACAGCAUACUCAAACGGGUCUUGGUUCUUUAUCCACCUUGCCCCGCUGUGUCUUUCAGUUGUAGCAUUUAGCCCAUUUACAUUUAAGUUUAGUAAUAAUAUAUGUGGAUUUGAUCCUGUCAUCAUGCUGUUAGCUGGUUAUUUUGCAGAUUUGUGUAUGUGGUUGCUUUUUAGCAUCACUGGUCUGUGCACUUCAGUGGGCUUUUGUAGUGGCUGGUAAUGGUCUUUUCUUUCCAUAUUUAGUGCUUCCUUCAGGAGCUCUUGUAAGGCAGAUUUGGUGGUAAUUAACUCCCUCAGCAUUUGCUUGUCUGAAAAGAAUCUUAUUUCUCCCUCACUUAUGACACUUAGUUUAGCUGGACAUGAAAUUCUGGAUUGGAAUUUCUUUUCUUUAAGAAGUUGAAUAUCUCUUCUGGCUUGUAAGGUUUCAGCUGAGAGGUCCACUAUUUGUCUGAUGGGAUUCCCUUUGUAGGUGACCUCACCUUUUUUCCUAGCUGCCUUUAACAUUUUUUCUUUCAUUUUGACCUUGGAUGUCUUUCUCGUGGCAUAUCUAACUGAGGUUCUCUGGAUUUCCUUAAUUUGAAUGUUGGCCUGUCUGGCUAGGUUGGGGACAUUCUCAUGAAUGACAUUCUGAAAUAUGUUUUCCAAGUUGGUUCCAUUUUCCUCAUCUCUUUCAGGUACACUAAUCAGUCAUAGAUUUGGUCACUUUACAUAAUCCCAUAUUUCUCAGAGGUUUUGUUAAUUCUUUUUCAUUCUUUUUCCCCCGUUCUUGUCUCCCUGUUUUAUUUCAGAAAUCCAGUUUUCAAGCUCUGAGAUUCUUUCCUCUGCUUGGUCUAUUCUGCUAGGUGGUCUUGCACAUGAGAUGGGGCUGGUCUAACCUCAGCACUCCUUAGUCAGCUUGCCUCUCCCAGGGCCCCAGCCUGGCCACACCUGCUUACAGGGCACUCUCAGGUGCCCACACACACUACAAGAAUUUUCAUAAUGCAAUCACACAUAAUCACCAUGUGAUUUCAUUAUGAAAAUUCUUCUAGUGUGCUUUUCAGCUCUAUCAGGUCGGUUAUGUUCUUCUUUA